rnacentral:tRNA from 1 species
CAUUAAGAAGCUAUCGCAGCAUUAACCUUUUAAGUUAAAGAAGGGGUUCCAAUCUUCCCCCUUAAUGA